UUUCUCCAUCAAAUAGACCAGUUAAUUAUGAAGAUAAGCCUCAUUUUAAAUUUCUUCAUUAUUAUUAUUUUGUUAGUGUACAUGACAACGAAAAGAUAGUUUCCAGCUGCUGGAAAAUUAUGGUAAAAGUUAGAUAACACACACUCUUGCAGGCACACAAAAAAGUCAGAUUCAAGUUACUUCAGCUAGAAAUGUGAACGGAGCUCCUGUCCUCUCCGGUGAGAUUCAAACCCACCUGUGACUGCUUUUUU